AGUGAACGCUGGCGGUAGGCCUAACACAUGCAAGUCGAACGGCAGCACAGUAAGAGCUUGCUCUUACGGGUGGAGAGUGGCGGACGGGUGAGGAAUACAUCGGAAUCUACUUUUUCGUGGGGGAUAACGUAGGGAAACUUACGCUAAUACCGCAUACGACCUACGGGUGAAAGCAGGGGAUCUUCGGACCUUGCGCGAUUGAAUGAGCCGAUGUCGGAUUAGCUAGUUGGCGGGGUAAAGGCCCACCAAGGCGACGAUCCGUAGCUGGUCUGAGAGGAUGAUCAGCCACACUGGAACUGAGACACGGUCCAGACUCCUACGGGAGGCAGCAGUGGGGAAUAUUGGACAAUGGGUGCAAGCCUGAUCCAGCCAUACCGCGUGGGUGAAGAAGGCCUUCGGGUUGUAAAGCCCUUUUGUUGGGAAAGAAAAGCAGCAGGUUAAUACCCCGCUGUUCUGACGGUACCCAAAGAAUAAGCACCGGCUAACUUCGUG
rnacentral:rRNA from 1 species